UUUAUGGAGAGUUUGAUCCUGGCUCAGAGUGAACGCUGGCGGCGUGCCUAACACAUGCAAGUCGCGCGGGAUU
rnacentral:rRNA from 1 species